rnacentral:piRNA from 1 species
UCUCUUUGUAGACCAGGCUUGUCUGGAAUUC